UAAAUCAUGCCAUUCAUUUUAACAAUUGGGAGUCUGACGUUGCCUGAUUAUUCAUACUGUUUCUACAGUGGUGUUGAUGUCUUCACUGCUCUUUCUGGUGCUGUUGGAGCUCUGUAUGGUCCCCUGCACGGUGGUGCAAAUGAGGUAAACAAUAUUGAGCAAUGCUUGCUUUUGAUUCUUGCAUUGAACAUGCAGUCCUCAUUUUACAAUCAUAGGACCAAGCUUAGAAGUACCAGACACAGUCUAUGUACUAUAUAAUUUGUUUUAUUAACAAUGUCAAAUAAAGUCACCUCCUAUGUAGAGAUAAUUUUUAUUUAAUUGAAAAGUUAUUUCUACAGCAUUUCUUUCUUUUCUCUAAAUCCAUUUGUAUCAUUAGAAUUUAUUAAGUAAUUAUUCAUAUAUGAUGGACAAGAAUUAAUGGAAUUCCCUAACAUGCCAGGCAGUACUUAAAAUGUUAAAUGAGAUUGGAAGUGUGGAAAAUAUUCCUGAUUUCAUCGAGGGAGUGAAGAACAGGUGAAAGAUAAUUCCUACGCUGAUUUAUAUUUUGUGGUGUUAAUCAUGGAAGCCUUUUUUAGUUGAUGAAGUUUAUCUUUUGCCUUUUUAAGUAUAUUUUGGACUUACUAUGAGAUUUAUUUCUUCUUUAGGAAGAGAAAGAUGUCAGGCUUUGGGCACCGUGUUUACAAGAAUUAUGAUCCUCGUGCUAAAGUCAUCCGAAAGCUAGCAGAGGAGGUAUUCUCUAUUGUGGGACGGGAUCCUCUUAUUGAGGUUAGUUAUACAGAAUUUCAUUAGUCAAAUAUGUUUGGUUUCUGACAACUGCAUGUAACAACCUUCAUUCAGUUAGUAUAAUAUUUUAUUAAUGUUCUGUUCCUGCCAUAGGAUUCUAAAUGACUUUUAACUUAGGAACCUGAAGCAUUCUUUGCGAAACAGUAGAAUAAAAGGUUUAUCUUUUUUUCAAUGAAUCAAUAAAAAUAUUACACUUUGUGUAACACGUGAGAUUGAUGGAAUACUUCUGAUUAGUUUCUUUCUGGAUCUGAAAAUGUUGAAUAAACACUAACAGAAACUUCUAGCAAUGACUUAUUGUUCACAAUCCAUCCAUGAAUGAACUACUUUGUGUAACACAUUGAGAUUGACGGAAUACUUCUGAUUAGUUUAUUUCUGGAUCUGAAAAUGUUGAAUAAACACAAACAGAAACUUACUAACAAUGCCUUACAGUUCAAAUCCUUUUUCUGUUGUACAUGAGAAAGUGACAUGUAUUUUUAAAGAACUAUGCUGCAUAUCUUUUCAGUCAGGAGAUGAAAACAUACUAAAUGAUGUUUGCGUAGAACUACUCAUUCAUAGACAAGCCACCAGGACAACAAAAACUAUUUUACCUAUUAUUGUCCUUCAGGAUUUUGUAUACCAAACAUAUGGGACGUUGAUGAUUGAUUUCACUCGGUUUCUUUAUCCACAAUUCCACAUGUACUUCACAUAUUUAGUACUGCUAUUGCAGAAAAUCUUUGAUAUUCGAUAACAAAUAAACAUGAGGUUAACAAAGCUAUAUUGUCAAAAGGUUCAGCAAUUGUUCUGUGUAGUUGCGGUCUACCUGCACAAGUGCUACAAGAAAUAUCUAUGCACAUUCUGGUUUCUAGCUUUGAUAUUUUGAUCCAUCGUACUAGAGUAAUCCCGAGAACUAUUAGGAUCAUGUUCUAUCCAUUCCAUAAUACUUGAAAUUGAUCGAUUAAUCUGGAAAAGUUCAUCGGAAAAACAAAUUAUCAAGCGGGCUAUAAUUAACACUCUUCAAGGUUUGAUGCUGUUACACUUUUGUUAACUACCCUGUUUUGUCAACCAGACCUUUUCCUUAUUACAAAGCCUACUAGAAGUAUUUUCUGUUCUUGAAGUAGGAUUCUGAGAUCAUCUAUGAGCAACCCUGCAACUGCAAUAAUGCUUUGACAAAUCCAAUACACCUUUGUAUUGGUUUCUAAUGCCAUGCUAGGUUGCUGUUGCAUUGGAGAAGGCAGCAUUGUCAGAUGAUUAUUUUGUCAAGAGGAAGCUCUAUCCAAAUGUGGACUUCUACUCUGGUUUAAUAUAUAGGUACAUCAGUGGGAAAGCUGUUUUUAUUUCCCCUCCUUUUUGUUAUUGCAGAUUUGUAGUAGUUAAUUGAGAUUGUGUUGGUUCAGGGCAAUGGGAUUCCCUACAGAAUUCUUUCCGGUUCUGUUUGCAAUUCCUCGCAUGGCUGGUUGGUUAGCACAUUGGAAAGAGUCACUCGAUGAUCCUGACACCAAGAUUAUGAGGCCUCAGCAGGUCAGUGAUAAGCAAACAAAUUUGCAUCUAAUGUUUUUUUUCCAUAACAUGAAUUCAAGAUAAAUCAUGAAUUAUGAUUACUCCUCUUUGAUCAACCGAACAUUUAGAUUUUCUCACCAAUCAAUAUUGAGCCAACCUGGAGCCAUUGUUAUUCAGUGCCAUGACUGUGUAGUGAUGGGGAAUAAAUAGUUAUAUGCUCUUUUUCCUUUGAAUAUCAUAUGGUUUGGCUGCUGUACUUUUGGCUACAAACAAUUAGUGUUGGGGUAUUUUAUGACCAUGGCAACCUUGUGAUGCAGAAGUCAAUGAACAAAGCCUAAUUCUCUUGAUAACCUUCUAUACAUUCAUCACUUCGUUGGGUGCUAUAGUAGUAUAGAUCAUUCUUUGGUACAUUCCAAAGUGCUACCAGGCCAAUUAAUUGCUUUUUAUAUAUUUGAUUUGAUUCAUGCAAUACAUGAUGUAAAAUAAUUAAAGAUGUGGUGCUACUGAGUUAGUUGGCCAGAUUUUCCUUUCUCCAUAGGGAUGGGCACCAGUUGGCCCACGGAUAAUCCGUGGCCAGUUCUAUUUCAAAUAAAUGAACUAAUUUUAUUUUUGAGAUCUCAAAAGUAAAAAACUUAGUUUAUUUAUUUGAACUAAAGCUGGCCAUGGAUUACCCACGGGCUGACCAGUGCCCAUCCCUAUCCAAGCAUUCAUUGGUUAACGAUGGCUUGCUCUUGUUCAGGUAUACACUGGUGUUUGGCUGAGGCAUUACACACCUGUGAGAGAACGAGUGCCAGCAAGCCAGAACGAGCAGCUCGGCCAGAUUGCUACCUCUAACGCAACAAGGCGUCGGCGUGCAGGUUCUGCACUGUAAGAUAGUUUCAAGGCACAACCUCCAUCGUACACAAUAAAACAAAGCUUCAUCCCUGUGUCGAGAUACAACCUCUGGUGCACACAAUAAAGCAAGCUUCAUCCCCUGUGCUAACAAAGUCUAUAUCUGCAUGAAUCCGGGUGCUGUAAAUCUGACGUUGUCGCGUAUCUAUGGGUAAUAAUGCCACCAGAGCACUGCACCUUUGUCAUGUGAAUCUGGAGCAUGAGUAAUGCGUCGUAGCCGUGCUCAUCGUGCCCAAUGCACACUUGUGUAUCUUGACCUCUCCGAAACAUGGAGGAUGAAAGGAUAUCACUGUGCAGAAACUAUAAAAAAUGCAAUCUUUUAAGAAGAUUUUCCACUUCAAUCAAUCAUGUCAAUUUAUCAAGUUUAUUGGUUGCAUCACAAUGUGCAAUCUUGCAUUGUCAGUUGUCCGGUCUGGUAUCUGUCGGAUGUUUAACCCAGUUCUUUUUGUCUGGUCGGAUGAUGAGGGUAAAAAUAUGGAUUAGUUAUUACAAAACUGAGAAGGUUGUUUUAAAAUACUAUUUAAAGAACUUCUGUAUAGCUUAUUUUUUAAAAAACCAGGUGAUAGACAAUAAUCUUACGGAGGAAAAGAAUGGAGCUUGCCACGGCCUACGCCGCCUCGAUACGCGAUACGGCGAUACCGGAUUCCUACGCCGCUUCGAUACGCUGAUACGGAUAAGUGAUACGGUGAUACCAGGAUUAUAACGUUUUUCAAUAAAUAUGGAUACAGAGAUACGCGAAUAUAUAUAUAUAUAUAUAAAUUAAAAAUACAAUAAUUUUGAAUGUGGAAUAUGAAAAAAAAUUGACAGCACAAACACAACUGCACAACAUUUUCAAGAUAGCAUUCACCAAAUCACCAAUGCAUAAAUCAGUAUAAAAAAUCUCCUGAACCACUCUCCUAGUACUAUCAGUACGGCUGCUAGCACUACCCCUAACAUUUAUGCUAUUACUUCUAAAAUCAAUUUAAUCUACCAAAGUAGAUAGCAAUCUACUGAGAAAUGGUGAAUUGAAACAUGCAGAUCAAACUUGGAGGGGGAUUUAUUUACCUCAACGUCGUCGGAGGGCGGGAUUGGGACGCUUGGCUGGCCACUCGGGAAGUCACGCAGAGGAUGGGCAGUGGUGCACCAGGCACGGCGCCGGUUGCUUGCAGCGGCGAGGCGGCGCGAACACAGCGCAUGCGGCGGCACAACGAUGGAGAUCAAGAGAGAAGCUGCGACCUGCAAGCCUGCGACUGCGAGUGGGAUUGGGAGAAGAAGUGGCGGAGGAGAGGGAAGAGGACGGGGUCGCGAUGCCGGCCGUCGGCAGCUCGGCGCUUGCCGCUGGCGGCGGCGAGGCCGCGGCGCUGCGAGGAGUGCGAGCCUGCGAUGGGGGAGGCGAUGCGUGCGGCGGCGGGGGUCUCGUGUGCGUAGGUUUUGUUAUUUAGGGUUUCCGUAUCCAUACCGUAUUCUGUUGUAUCGGAGCCGUAUCCGUGUUUAUUUUAAUUAUUUGAUAAAGGAAAAAAUAAGGGAUACGUAUCUAGUCGUAUCCCGCGCGU
rnacentral:lncRNA from 1 species